rnacentral:rRNA from 1 species
AGCAGCCGCGGUAAUUCCAGCUCCAAUAGCGUAUAUUAAAGUUGUUGCAGUUAAAAAGCUCGUAGUUGAAUUUCGGAACCGAUGGAUCGGUCAUGCCAAUCGGUGUGUACUGGUUUGAUUGGUUCUCACCUUCUAAGGAACCGUGAUGUCAUUAAUUUGGUGUCGCGAGAAAUUAGGACUGUUACCUUGAAAAAAUUAGAGUGUUUAAAGCAAGCUCACGCUUGAAUACAUUAGCAUGGAAUAAUGAAAUAGGACAUUGUAUUCUAUUUUGUUGGUUUCUAGGAUCGAUGUAAUGAUUAAUAGGGAUAGUUGGGGGCAUUAGUAUUCAAUUGUCAGAGGUGAAAUUCUUGGAUUUAUUGAAGACUAACUACUGCGAAAGCAUUUGCCAAGGAUGUUUUCAUUAAUCAAGAACGAAAGUUAGGGGAUCGAAGACGAUCAGAUACCGUCGUAGUCUUAACCAUAAACUAUGCCGACUAGGGAUCGGAUGAUGUUAAUUUUUAAUGACUCAUUC